CCCCGAAAUCUGAUAUUUUUGCAGUGUAACUCUCAUCGAGUAGAAUGUUUGUAGACUUCACAUCUCAAUGAAUUACAGGUGUAGAAGCUGCAGAAUGUAGAUAUGCGAGUGCACCAGCAGCUUCAGAUGCUAUUCUUAAUCGAUUUUCCCAUGAAAACCAACGCAUUUGAUCUCCACCAUCAUGAAUAUGGUAAUAGAGUGUACCUUUGGAAAUGUAUUCAUAGACUAGUAGAGGUACUUCAGACUCCAAACAACACCCCAAGAGUUUCACCACGUUUCGAUGAUUGACUUCUGAAAGAAUGAUCACUUCAUUGAUGAACAAUUCUAUUUGGAUGACGUCCAUUGUUCUAGACUUUUUAAUUGCAACUACACGUUUGUCCGGAAGGACACCUUUGUAAACUGUACCAUAACCACCUCGGCCUAGGAUACGAUCCUCAGCAUAGUUGUUGGUUGAUUUCUCGAGUUCUGCUGCUGUAAAGAUCUUAGCUGCAUACUGUAUACCACCCUCAUUUGAUCGGAGUUUCUGCGUGAGCAUCAAUCCACCAUUUUUCUGAAAAAACGUUUCCCUGAGUCUUAUGAGUCGUCAUCUUUUGAUGCCUAAGUAUAUCCAAGUUACACUGAUGACCAAAGCCAGAAAACCAAAGCACAAACCUGCAAUGAAAGUGCAACUUUAGUUUACUCUUAACCGUUUUCACUUUAUAUGAAGGUGUUUGACUGGACACACAGAGUAGAGUAGACGUACUGAUUGAGAGUUGAAGGAUGGGUGAUUUAGAGUUCUUAGGGAUGCAACCGUGGCCGUCCUUUUUUCCAUCACCAAUCUGACCAUGUGGACAAGUGCAGCUGUAGCCUCCAGGAAAGUUAUUGCAUAUUCCAUCACAAGGAUUCUCGUUCUCGCAUUCAUUUAUAUCUGUCAAUUAAUCAAACAUCAGAACGUAAAGAGGUUGUUUCUGAUAGACCCUCGGCUCAAAUGCAACACUAACCAACACAUAUAACAUCAUUCGAACAAAGUAACUUUGGCUCAAACCUUACUAAACAAGCACAAAUCGUAGAUUCCUAACCAAGUUACGACAAUUUCAAACUCGAACACAAAAAGUUCAAAUCAUGAAUUCAGUCUUACCUAUGCAACCUGGACUGAUAUAAGGGUUCCCCUGGUAUCCCGGUUUGCAGUUGCAACGAUAACCUCCGAGGCCUGUCUUAGAAUCUACACAAACACUAUUUUCUCCACAAGCAUAAUCUGCUGAUUUCUUAGCCACAGUGCAACUACCAUUGCCAAUAACCCAAUCAAUCACCACAGGGACUUCCUCUAUAACCUUGUUCCUGAAACUCGAAUUUGAUAAAUCCGAGCUCUUGAAAAUGAACUUAUCAGGCUCACCAAGAAACAAGUAGCCACAAGGGUUAAAAGAAGACACAUUUGUAUGGUUAUUCAAACUCCUUGUUAGACUCACAAAACUCUUCAAACCUGUUGGGAUUGAAGUCUGGCAACAUCCAAUUCCUGAGCAAUAUCCUUCAAUUAUAUCCUCUUUUUUCGCGCAUAGUGAAAUGCAUCCACUAGUAAAGUUCCUCCCUUCAUAGCCGAGAAUGAGAGCUAAGUCAUCGCAGCCAACUACCAUCAAACUAUUGAGAUCAGAGAAGGAGAAAGACGUCAAUCCCAAGCUAAAGUUUAUCGAGUCAUCAUUGAUCAAGACCCCUGCUUGAUCAUAACACCUACUCCCAACAUUGUUCUUAAAAUAAGAAAGGGCAAGAUAAAGAAAAAAUAAAUAAAUAACGGACAGGAUCACACCAAAUUGCAAGUUACAUAAAAUAACAGUUAUCGUCAUUACAAUAACAGAUUUAUAAUACAAAAACAUUAACAUACAAGAAAUUUGAAAAUUAAAGCAUCAAUUUUUUGCAAAAUCUAGUGAUGCUUUACCAGAAGGCCUCUUAAUAAAGCAAUGAUCCCAAUAAUUAGAGAACAAAAUAUGUUUGUACACUGGUUUUUCUCCAUCUUUUAGCAUUUGUGGGAAUGAACCAAUGACACUAUCAAAACUAGGAUUCACGCAUAGCGGUACAGAUAUUCGAGUCCUGCUCGAAUCAACUGCUACACAAUGCUCGAUACUCUUGUAUCGAUCAUUGCUCAUGAUCUGCAAUGAGUCACCUAUAUUAACCGCUAAGGCACCUUUGAUAGGAUUUACGUGAAUCCAGUUGCCUUUAGUCCCUCGGACAUAUAGGCCUCCUGUGUCGUCCUGGAGGAGCAAAGUUAUGCAGCCCAUGUCGCAGUGUCUACGAAAACCCAUGGCGAUACUUGGAUUUGGGCAUGGUGGAUAGUAGUUGAUGUUUAUAGACAUAGUUCCCAUCAAGAGAAGUUCUAAAGAUUCGUCAAUUUCAUUGACAUUGAGACCCUUCAAUAGCACCUCAAGCAAUUUUUUAGCAAGUGGUUUAACCCACUUUUGAUACUCCAAAACUUGGUUCCUAUAAAUCAAUAACAAACUCAGGAAUUUUAUUAAGAGCAUUAGUGUUUAAUGGGAAGGUCAAAUUUUUCUCUAAUAACGUUCAAGAUUCAAUGUCAAAGUUAAGAAUUUCACUAAGAAUAUUUCGUAAGUCUAUAAAAUCACAACCUCCUUAUGCUGCUAAGACAGAGGUAAAAUAUGCGUAUAUUCUACCCUCUCCAUACUCUACUUGUGAGAUUAUACUAGAUAUGUAAUCGUAUAAAAGAUAACUUUUCUCCUACAUAUACGAUAUACUUUUGAUUUAAGUUAUAAAAACCAUUAUAAAAUCUUGAUAUAAUUUUGUAUUCAACCACUUAAUCUAGUUAGUUUUUAAAUAUCUUUUGAUAAAUAGUUGGUGAUAGUUCAGAAACGUCAAGCACCUCCCAAAAAGUAAUACUACUUGAAAACCCGUGACCUAUUGAUUACACAGAGUAGAAAACCCCAAAAAGUUACCUUGUUUGAGGAGGCCAAAGAUUGCUAUCAUUUUUGUGGAUUACAACCAUGUUUUAUACUAUCCCUCCACUCCAAAACUUUCUCAUCUUUCUCACCAAUAGCACUCCAAAACAUAAACACAGAUUCACCAGGACUAACUUUUUCUUUAUGAUACUUAACUUUUUCUUCAGCUGGCAAUUCAAAGAAUUUGUGUGCCGCAUCCUUCAAAUCUUCAAGAACUUCAAUUGGGAUGCCAUGAUUGAUGAUUUGGAAGAAACCCCACUUGCUUGCUGCUUCUUGAAUUGACUUUUCAACAUUUAAAUCAUCAAAAUUUGAUAAAUCAAUUGUUGGGAUUGAUUCUUGAUUAUCAAUUUGGGACUUGUCUAGUCUUUGUUCUUUUGGUUGAAUGCAUUGAUUUGGGAUAAUUUCAAGGUUUGUGUCUACUAGGCCUUUUAGUCCAUUUGCUUUCUUGAUUACAAAAUCAAGUAUGUCAUCAUUUGGUUCAAAUUUUGAAGAAGACAUUUGUAUUGAAUCUUGAUGAGUGUGUACUACUGGGAGAAGGAAAUUUGGAGUUGUAUUAAUGGUGGGUUUGAGAGGGGUGUAUAUGGGGGCGAGGGAAGAAAGGGGGGCGGGGGGGUUGGCUAUGAAAUGAUGGAAGAUUGAACCAUUCCUUCAUCUAACAACGAGGGAUCAUGCUGAAGUGGUAAACAUUUUUUAAUCAAAUCUCUUGAAUUCAAAUUUUCUUAAAUACAAUAUUGUUUUUAUUAGAGAUUGUUUUACUUCCCAAUAUAGGACUUUUCGGUACAAAUUCAAUUUUAGUUGGACUCAAUAUGAAUAUCAAAUAUCCAUUGAUUAAAAAGAUUAUUCCUUCUUCUAUUAUUUGAAAGGGAGUGGGGGUGGGGUAUGUGGAUGAUAUAUUAAAUACCUAAACAAAAUUCUUGAAUUGAUUUUUUAUUUAGUAUUUCAAAUUUUAUUUUUUAUUUAAUCAAACAUCAUUAUCAUAAAAUAGCUAUUUGGAAAUUGGUGAGGUGGCUUCUUGAUGUCCAUGGGUGAAUUGUGGUUCGUAGAUAACAUCCAAAACUUUUUUUGUCGGUUGUUAUGAAUGAUGAAUUUUGUAUAUUAUAUCCAUAAAAAUUAUCAGUAAAAAUAGAUAUAAUUUAAUUUUCUUAUUUACUUUUCAUAGUAUAACUUUUAUAGCUAUAAAUUUGAUGGAAACAUAUCAAAUGUGGAUUAUAUUUUUUACUAAGUAGGAAAAAGCUUUAAAAAGUCUUUUAAAAGCACUACCACUUAAAUCAUUAGAAGAAAAAAAUCUAAAUGUUUAGUGUCCUUCGUUUGCUAGAAAAUUUGCGUAUUGAUUUGCCUCUCUCUAAAUAAAUGUGUUUGAUAAUGUCAAAAGUUGAAUUAUACGGAAAAAAAAUUGAACUAUGCCAAAUGCUCAAAAUUCAAAAAAUGUGGAAUUAUACACUAAUUUAUACAAGUUAAAUUGUAAACAACAAAAUAAUAAGGGGAUUUACAUUCUGCAACAUAUCAACCUAGUCUUUUAAUGAGUUGAGCUAGUAAAUAGGCGAACCAAUGACUAGGCCAAACUUGGACGGAUUUGAUGAAUCAUAAUGAAGUACAUUCUGCAACAUACAAGUUAGGACACACAAAUGCAGGCUUUACACAAGUAAUGGAUCACCGGGGACUAUGAAUUUGUAACAUCAUCCGACUAUCCAAGCUCUGUUGUCCUGAGAAUUCUCCGUUAGACAUGAAGUUCGUGUUCAUAUUGAUCGCGUAAAGGUCCAAUGUUUGUUCUGUAAUUAAUCCAAGACUCUCCUCAUCUUGACAUUGUUGAGUUUUAGACCAUGGAUGUUUUGUGAACUUCCUUAGUCCUUCUAGCUCCAUGGCUACUUCUUUCAUCGUAGGCCUUUCUUCACUCGUUAACCUUAAACAUCUCUUCGCGAGCUCAGCAACACCUUGACAUUGCUCAAAACUUCCUUCUCGAACCACACGUGACUCAAGUACUUGAAACAAUCGAUUUUCCUUAAUAGACCUAACGAAAAAUGCAGCUAGAUUUCUCUCUUGUUCGGAUGCUGUAGUAUCUAGUGGCAUUCGCGCUGUUAAGAGCUCUGCAAGAACCACGCCAAAACUAUAAACGUCACUCUUUUCUGUCAAUUGACUUGUGUGGAAGUAUUCAGGAUCUAAGUAACCUAAAGUUCCUUGAACCAAUGUAGUCACUUGAGUUUGAUCCAAUGACACUAAUCUAGAAGCCCCGAAAUCUGAUAUCUUUGCGGUGUAAUUCUCAUCUAGUAGAAUGUUUGUAGACUUCACAUCUCGAUGAAUUACAGGUGUAGAAGCUGCAGAAUGUAGAUACGCGAGUGCACCAGCAGCUUCAGACGCUAUUCUUAAUCGAUUUUCCCAUGAAAACCAACGCGUUUGAUCUCCACCAUCAUGAAUAUGGUCAUAGAG
rnacentral:lncRNA from 1 species